UACGUAGGAGGCGAGCGUUGUCCGGAAUUACUGGGCGUAAAGAGCGCGUAGGCGGCACAGUACGACCGAUGUGAAAGCCCCCGGCUCAACUGGGGAGGGUCAACGGUAACGGCUGAGCUGUGAGUGCAGGAGAGGGAAGUGGAACUCCGGGAGUAGCGGUGAAAUGCGUAGAGACCCGGAGGAACACCAGUGGCGAAGGCGGCUUCCUGGUCUGCAACUGACGCUGAGGCGCGAAAGCUAGGGGAGCAAACGGG
rnacentral:rRNA from 1 species